AAGUCGUAACAAGGUCUCCGUUGGUGAACCAGCGGAGGGAUCAUUACCGAGUACUAUAACUCAUAACCCUUUGUGAACCUUUAUACCUGUUGCUUCGGCGGCGCGCCUCCCGGGGCGUGCCCGCCGGCAUUAUCAGAAUCUCUGUUCGAACCCGACGAUACAUCUGAGUGUUCUAAGCGAACUGUUAAAACUUUCAACAACGGAUCUCUUGGCUCCAGCAUCGAUGAAGAACGCAGCGAAACGCGAUAUGCAAUGUGAAUUGCAGAAUUCAGUGAAUCAUCGAAUCUUUGAACGCACAUGGCGCCUUCCAGUAUCCUGGGAGGCAUGCCUGUCCGAGCGUCGUUUCAACCCUCAAGCCCCCGUGGCCCGGCGUUGGGGAUCUGCCCAGGCAGUCCCCGAAAACCAGUGGCGGACCCGUUGGGCCCUUCCUUUGCGUAGUAACAUCUGCCUCGCAUCGGGAGCCUGCGGGCUAUCCGGCCUCUAAACCCCCCUCAAGCCCGCUCCGGCGGCACCAAGGUUGACCUCGGAUCAGGUAGGAAUACCCGCUGAACUUAA
rnacentral:rRNA from 1 species